rnacentral:rRNA from 1 species
GCUGGCGGCAGGCCUAACACAUGCAAGUCGAGCGGUAGCACAGAGAGCUUGCUCUCGGGUGACGAGCGGCGGACGGGUGAGUAAUGUCUGGGAAACUGCCUGAUGGAGGGGGAUAACUACUGGAAACGGUAGCUAAUACCGCAUAAUGUCGCAAGACCAAAGUGGGGGACCUUCGGGCCUCAUGCCAUCAGAUGUGCCCAGAUGGGAUUAGCUAGUAGGUGGGGUAACGGCUCACCUAGGCGACGAUCCCUAGCUGGUCUGAGAGGAUGACCAGCCACACUGGAACUGAGACACGGUCCAGACUCCUACGGGAGGCAGCAGUGGGGAAUAUUGCACAAUGGGCGCAAGCCUGAUGCAGCCAUGCCGCGUGUGUGAAGAAGGCCUUCGGGUUGUAAAGCACUUUCAGCGGGGAGGAAGGCGAUAAGGUUAAUAACCUUGUCGAUUGACGUUACCCGCAGAAGAAGCACCGGCUAACUCCGUGCCAGCAGCCGCGGUAAUACGGAGGGUGCAAGCGUUAAUCGGAAUUACUGGGCGUAAAGCGCACGCAGGCGGUCUGUCAAGUCGGAUGUGAAAUCCCCGGGCUUAACCUGGGAACUGCAUUCGAAACUGGCAGGCUAGAGUCUUGUAGAGGGGGGUAGAAUUCCAGGUGUAGCGGUGAAAUGCGUAGAGAUCUGGAGGAAUACCGGUGGCGAAGGCGGCCCCCUGGACAAAGACUGACGCUCAGGUGCGAAAGCGUGGGGAGCAAACAGGAUUAGAUACCCUGGUAGUCCACGCCGUAAACGAUGUCGAUUUGGAGGUUGUGCCCUUGAGGCGUGGCUUCCGGAGCUAACGCGUUAAAUCGACCGCCUGGGGAGUACGGCCGCAAGGUUAAAACUCAAAUGAAUUGACGGGGGCCCGCACAAGCGGUGGAGCAUGUGGUUUAAUUCGAUGCAACGCGAAGAACCUUACCUGGUCUUGACAUCCACAGAACUUUCCAGAGAUGGAUUGGUGCCUUCGGGAACUGUGAGACAGGUGCUGCAUGGCUGUCGUCAGCUCGUGUUGUGAAAUGUUGGGUUAAGUCCCGCAACGAGCGCAACCCUUAUCCUUUGUUGCCAGCGGUUCGGCCGGGAACUCAAAGGAGACUGCCAGUGAUAAACUGGAGGAAGGUGGGGAUGACGUCAAGUCAUCAUGGCCCUUACGACCAGGGCUACACACGUGCUACAAUGGCAUAUACAAAGAGAAGCGACCUCGCGAGAGCAAGCGGACCUCAUAAAGUAUGUCGUAGUCCGGAUUGGAGUCUGCAACUCGACUCCAUGAAGUCGGAAUCGCUAGUAAUCGUAGAUCAGAAUGCUACGGUGAAUACGUUCCCGGGCCUUGUACACACCGCCCGUCACACCAUGGGAGUGGGUUGCAAAAGAAGUAGGUAGCUUAACCUUCGGGAGGGCGCUUACCACUUUGUGAUUCAUGAC